rnacentral:rRNA from 1 species
UGACGCUCUCCCCAAGGACACAAGCCAUGCAUGCCCGCGCACCCGGGAGGCGGCGGACGGCUCAGGACAACGGUUGCACCCCCCGCGGCGGUCCCUGCUAGCCGGACACCGCUGGCAACCCGGCGCCAAGACGGC